ensembl:lncRNA novel transcript
GGACAGAUUUAGUUUCUUGCAGAACACAAUUCCGAAAUCUUGAGCUCCACACCCCAUCUGUCCCAACGGCACCUGCAGGUUCGUCUUCCUUUCUGAGUUACUCGUUUUCACAGUUCAGCUCUUACAACAAGGAGAGAUAUUUUAACCAAGACAAUCAACGUAACAGCCACAGGAUAUUGAAAAAAAAGUCUUCUUCCAAAAUCAUCCAGUCUUCCCUCCUCUAUGAAUACUUGCAUCUUGUUUCUCCAUCAACAACAGAUGUUUGAAGAGAACCAGCAGCCAGUCCAAUCCCCUGUGAGAUCUCUGAAGCAUCAGCAAAAAGGAAAAAAGAAAUGACAUCAGAUGACCUCUAUGAGCUACUCAUUUCUGACUCUUGGCAUGAAACAAUGGAGAGUAGAGGCUCCACCUCAUCUUAUUCUAGACCUUUCUAGGGUGACUGUGUUUAAGUACCAGUUUCUUCCUCAGUCCUCAAGGGUAUAUCACAGCCCGAAGAAAAACCCAAACAGAAUAAACAUGGAAAAGCUGGUCGGAAGGUACUGUGGGUUUGGAGAGCGUUAACCAUCUCACCGUUAAUCACCAUGGGAGACUGAAUUUUCUUCUGUUGAAGACCAAAAUUGCAACAAAACAAAACAAAACAAAAAUCCAAGCAGUCCUCCAGAGAGGGAAAUCUCAGUUUAAUUGAUGUCACUAGUUAAAAAGGCGCACUGAAGUAUAAGAAGAAAAUAAGAUUUUUGCUCAGGCUGCUUAAGAUUUUCUCUGGAUGAAUAAGAACAUUGUUUACUGAUGAAUUCCAGCUACAUAAUUUGCUCCAACUGAUGAUAAACAUCUUACAUGAAUGGUGCUGGCUUCCUCCUUCUGAAUACCACGUGAGUCCUUUAGAAAUAUGAGAGAGGCGAACCAAGCAGUCAUUUAAAGAUUAGCCAAGAUAAAUGAUCAAACAACCAAUUCAGGGCAAUGGAAGAAAGGCAGUCUGGAUUAUUGAACAGUUUAUAGAAACAGUUGCAUAUCAAUUUUGAAAGUAUACACUGUUCUGUUAAUGGAGGAAGGCUGCUAGGUGGAUUGCUUUAAUCAACAUAUUGGAAACUAUUUGGAGACUACAUGAAUACAUUGCAUGAGGCCAUGGGAGCAAUUUCUUCUACACAUGUUAAGCACAGUCUCUGUAAUAGUAGUGUUAGUAAUAGUAGUAGUGUUAACUAUUAUUGUGUGUGUUCUUCUAUGUAAUAAUAGUGUUAACUAUUAUUAGUAACAGUAGUGUUAACUAUUAUUAGUAACAGUAGUGUUAACUAUUAUUAGUAAUAGUAGUGUUAACUAUUAUUGUGUGUGUUCUAUGAAAACAUGCAGUAUACUUCACAGUAUACUAUAUAUUUGACUCCCUCAUAUACUGUCAGUUAUUUUAGCAUCUAUAUGAUUUGGGAAGUAUGCAUAGUCCAAAUAUGUUCUCUGAUUGGCUAAGAGAUGAGAGGGAAGUCAUUUAAUAGGGGCAGCAAGAAGGGGAAAGAAUGAGUGGAGAGAGAGGAAAAUUAGGACACAUAGUUGGCUCCAGAAUGUGCAGCAUAUAGUUCAUUGCCACAACCACCAAAUAUUCAGCAAGUCUGAUGAAAAUCAUGAAAUGCUUUGUAUGAGCUAGCAGUCACCAUAGUAAUGUUGUAUAACAAAUGACUCUAAAAUUGAGUUUUGCCUAUCUUGACUGGGAUUAGCUUAAUGAUUUUUCUGGUCUUGCCUGAGGCCCAUUCACGUGUCUGGCAGGUAUUUACUGAAUGGUUGGCUGACAUGGUAGAACCUCAGCUGGGAAGUCCAGCUCUGCUGCCCAUGGUCUUGUUUCCAGAGUGGCCUGGCCCAGGCUUAGGUUCAUGUUGGAGGCUGAAUACUGAGAGGGGAAGCAGAAACAUUCAAGAUCUCCUGACACCUGGGUGCAUUCAGGUUGCAUUGUCAGUCCACUUUAUUCUGUAGACCAAAGCAAGUCGCAAGGUCACACUGAAGUCAAGGGGUGUAAAAACGUUGGAAAUUAGAUUCUCAAAAAGUCAAUGGUUGAGGGUUAGGAAGGAGCAGGGAGGCAAUAAUUCCCCUGUUUGUCUGGCCUGCCCUGUGGGUGGGGAGCUCUCAGCAGCUUGAGAGGAGCAGGAGAGAGGCAGAGAACUGAGAGUACUGUCAGCCAGAAGCUGGCCAGAGCAAACCGGAAUGGGCAGUGACAGCCUGUGAAACAUCUGCUGUAUAUGCCUGUACCUCUCUGUUGUAUCUGCCUGAAGACCUCCCUCUACUUCGUUUGCUCGGCCUACUUUGAAUUGCCCUGAGACUUCAGAUUAAAUUCUAAGGAAUAUCUUUCCGCCCUGGAUAUUCUGGUUUUUGCCUGUGCUGUAAUAUCUGAGUUUCUUGACUCUCUCACAACACUGCUCAUACUGCCAUUUAAUUGCCUGUGUGUUUGACUGUGGUCCAACUUAGGCAAUCCCCAAUUAAAAGCAGGAGUUUUCCUAUGUUGUUCGCCACCGCUGAGUUGCAUGGUGACUGGCACAUAGCAGGCACACAAUGGAUAUAUUUUUAAAUUUUAUUUUCUUCUGGUAAAAACACGUAACACGAGAUCCACUCUGUUAACAAAUAUUUAAGUGUAUAAUAAAAUACUGUAAAGCCCAGGUACAGUAUUUGAUGCAUUCUGAAUAGCAUUUAGCCAAGUUUUCCAGCACAUAUCUAAACUCAAUUUUAUGACAAGCCUGAGUUAAAUUUCCCACUAGAUUCUGAAUAAAGAGUUCACAUUUUCUCAUCAGGCAUUUUACCUACAUGAAUUUUGGAAAAAGCGUCUUCUGUCUGUUGGGUACAGAAACCGCCUUUCAGGACAAUAAAAUGGAAAUUGUGGAACAGCCAGAAAUCAAGCAGUAAGAAGACAAACUUCCCCCUAAAAAUUUGAUUUCUAAAAAUGUGUGCAUUGUAUGUCUCCCUGUAUUAACUAAUUCAUGGAA